GAGAGGAGAGAGAGACAGAGCCAGAGAGGAGGGCUGAGUCCAGAAGGUUUAGAGCCCACGUCGGUGAGUUUCUUGGUGUCUGAAUUGAUCCAGCAACCUCUGCAGAUAAAACACGAAAUUGGGAGGAACAAAAGAGGAAGUGAAGGGCAUCUCAAAUGAGAGCCUUUUCAGCCAUUCUGUGAUGUUGUUGUUUUUUGAAUAGUGAACUGACAGUCGGAUUGGUUGAGAUGUGCAAACAAAACCAGUCUCCAGCGUG